UACGUAGGGGGCAAGCGUUGUCCGGAUUUACUGGGCGUAAAGCGCGUGUAGGCGGCAACGCAAGUCGGGCGUGAAAUCCCACGGCUCAACCGUGGAAGUGCACUCGAAACUGCGUAGCUAGAGUCCUGGAGAGGAAGGUGGAAUGCUUGGUGUAGAGGUGAAAUUCGUAGAUAUCAAGCGGAACACCGGUGGCGAAGGCGGCCUUCUGGACAGUGACUGACGCUGAGACGCGAAAGCGUGGGGAGCAAACAGG
rnacentral:rRNA from 1 species